GCGACCCCAGGUCAGGCGGGACUACCCGCUGAGUUUAAGCAUAUAAAUAAGCGGAGGAGAAGAAACUUACAAGGAUUCCCCUAGUAACGGCGAGACGG
rnacentral:rRNA from 1 species